UACGUAGGGUGCAAGCGUUAAUCGGAAUACUGGGCGUAAAGCGUGCGCAGGCGGUUAUGUAAGACAGGUGUGAAAUCCCCGGGCUUAACCUGGGAACUGCAUUUGUGACUGCAUGGCUAGAGUACGGUAGAGGGGGAUGGAAUUCCGCGUGUAGCAGUGAAAUGCGUAGAUAUGCGGAGGAACACCGAUGGCGAAGGCAAUCCCCUGGACCUGUACUGACGCUCAUGCACGAAAGCGUGGGGAGCAAACGAGG
rnacentral:rRNA from 1 species